AGCGAACGCUGGCGGCGUGCCUAACACAUGCAAGUCGAACGUGAAAAGGGAAACCUGAGUAAAGUGGCGUACGGGUGAGUAACGCGUAGGUAAUCUACCCCAGAAUCUGGAAUAACCUGCCGAAAGGCGGGCUAAUACUGGAUAGAGCGAGGGAACUCGUAAGAGAGUUUUUCGGGAAAGGGAGCCCGCAAGGGCCUUCGUUCUGGGAUGAGCCUGCGUCUCAUUAGCUAGUUGGUAAGGUAACGGCUUACCAAGGCGAUGAUGAGUAGCUGGUCUGAGAGGAUGAUCAGCCACACUGGAACUGAAACACGGUCCAGACUCCUACGGGAGGCAGCAGUGGGGAAUCUUGCGCAAUGGACGAAAGUCUGACGCAGCCACGCCGCGUGAGUGAAGAAGGCCGUCGGGUUGUAAAGCUCUGUCGGAUGGGACGAACAUCUUCAUAGUGAAUAGCUAUGAGGACUGACGGUACCAUCAAAGGAAGCACCGGCUAACUCCGUG
rnacentral:rRNA from 1 species